UAAAUGUUUGCUCUGAAAUUGAAGUUACAGUUGUUUUUAUAAUGUUUUUGUUAUGUUCGUUUUGUUGUUAGGUUGUGCCAAGGAGUAUGGUUUAUGUGCAAAGUGUUGUUGCUGUGUGAGCCAAACAAUUGGAAGGCUAUCAAGAAUGCUUGAGAAAGGGACGGGACGUCUCUACUUCGCACUUUGUGAAUUUUCAAGCACAAAUCCCUUCGCUCUUUGAUUCUAUUUCACUCUCACAGUCUCUCACACAUUGACUCUGAGAUCGCUUCAGCUUCUUC